GAUCCGACACAUAUUACCCUCUGUCGUGCAAACUUGACUGCAUCGGGACAGAUUUCGCGAUCUGGCCCAAAUCUGAUUCCUUAGCGCACGAGCCAUUUCUAGUUUCCCGAUUCGACUCCUUCGCAUGUGUCCGCCUCUAGUUUUGCAAUAUAAACGCCGAUCCAGCUCCUACGCGCGCAUCCACCUUCUGGUUUCACGAUCUGGUGCCAAUUCAGUUUCUCUGCGCAAGCCACUCCUAC
rnacentral:lncRNA from 1 species